rnacentral:rRNA from 1 species
GAUGAACGCUGGCGGCGUGCCUAAUACAUGCAAGUCGAGCGAACGGACGAGAAGCUUGCUUCUCUGAUGUUAGCGGCGGACGGGUGAGUAACACGUGGAUAACCUACCUAUAAGACUGGGAUAACUUCGGGAAACCGGAGCUAAUACCGGAUAAUAUUUUGAACCGCAUGGUUCAAAAGUGAAAGACGGUCUUUCUGUCACUUAUAGAUGGAUCCGCGCUGCAUUAGCUAGUUGGUAAGGUAACGGCUUACCAAGGCAACGAUGCAUAGCCGACCUGAGAGAGUGAUCGGCCACCCUGGAACUGAGACACGGUCCAGACUCCUACGGGAGGCAGCAGUAGGGAAUCUUCCGCAAUGGGCGAAAGCCUGACGGAGCAACGCCGCGUGAGUGAUGAAGGUCUUCGGAUCGUAAAACUCUGUUAUUAGGGAAGAACAUAUGUGUAAGUAACUGUGCACAUCUUGACGGUACCUAAUCAGAAAGCCACGGCUAACUACGUG